UCCCGUCUGCUGGGCAGCUGUUUGCACUCGUGUGCGUGUGACAGCAGUUUGGACUGGUCUGACACCAGCGUGCUGACACUCACAUGGCCAGGACUAAGUGGAAGCAGAUGAUCUGGACAUGUGCAAAUUCCCAUCUCACACUGGAGAAAGAACAUGAAAACACUCCUCUGCAACUGCAGGCGUCCGCUUCACCAGUCAGUCACAUGAUCAUUUGUCCGAGACAGAAGCAGGACACGCGCUCUGACCUACUCUGGACAAGAAGCAGACAACAUGGAAUUCUGUGCACCACACGUGGGAAUACUGAGGCAGCGUCCAGCGGCUUUUUACGAGGCGCCGUUUACAGUCCGAGGUUAAAACAAAGACAGCGUCUCCGAGGGUGGUCGCGGUCUUGUUUUUAACUGUGGGCGGAAAAAGAAACUGAGAGCAUCACGGUAUUUUUUCUGCAGAUAU